rnacentral:rRNA from 1 species
UUUUAUGUACUUCAUAUUAAAAGUAUAUACUCAGAAGCUAAGCAGGGUCGGGCCUGGUUAGUACUUGGAUGGGAGACCAACUAGGAAGACCAGGUGCCGUAGGCA